AUGCAAUUUUAAGAAAAUGGAGAUCACCCGCAAUGUGUUAAAGGACUGGGCAAUGAGAUCCACACUAAAAUAUGUACCUGCUUCUGAUCAGCACCUCUGUUGUCUAUGUUGUACGCAUGCAGAUAGCACUCUUCUUAACCAUCAAGUCAUCUAGCUCAGAUGAUGGUCACUUAAGGAAACGUCAAAUAAUGGAGAGAUGUAUAUACAGUUGCUGCAGCAGGGAGGAAAGCAACAAAACAGGAAUGGAAAUUGGCAGGAGGAGGUCUGAAAGGCCACAAGUUUCCAGCUCAGAAAGACGGUGGGAGAGGAAGUCGGUGAGUGCAAAAGGAUUCCCUCUCUCCCCACCUCUCAGCCCCCACCCUCUGUCCUUCCUCCACACCCCUCCCAGGGAGAUGGGAGAAGAAACUUGGCAAGCCAUCUUGUCGCCAAUCAAUCUGUGGUGUAACAAUUAGCACUUAAGCAGCACUCAAGCUAAACACAGGCUCAGAAAACACUUAAAAAGAAAAAAAAAAAAGGGGGGGGGGAAAAAAUAACACAACCCACCAACACAACAAGAGGGGAAAGCUGGAACAGAUCAAUGCCGCGCUGAGCAGCAGGCACCUAAUACCACAUUAUUGACGAGGACGAUAGCGCUUUAAGUGUGCGCUCUCCACGCUGAGCAAUUAGCCAGCAGGACCUCUGCAGCGAAGGCAGCUCCACCGCAAGAACGCACCCUCCCCUGCUGCCCACCGCUUCCCCCAAGAGGUGUUUGAUGACAGCUUCAUUUGUUAGCGUGAUUCCAAGAGCUGGUGGCGCCGGCAUCAUUCCAUUACGGAAGGGAGCGCGAGGGGAGGUUGGGCAGCAGGUCUUCUCCCCCCCCCCCCCCCUCCUUGGCCACUGGUAACAGAAUACAGUAGACACGGAGUCUGUCUGUGCGCUGGCUAAAUUGAUUGUAAUGGGUUUCUUAACGUGGUGAAAGAGCCGACUGUUUUCUCGCCUCGAAGAAAGGCCGGAGGAAGGAGGAAGUGACUCCAGCGGCUGCAGCACAGUGGAUGAAAGUAAACUUUUGUUUAGUAAAGAGCAGCCGACUGCAGACUGUCUCUGGCCUUUCAGCUAGCGCUCAGCAACACUAUUUUUUAGAAGAAAGGGGAGAGGGUCGAAAACAAACUCUGUCAGCUUCCUGCCUCGGCUCUUGCUCUCAUAAUAACCCCGCUGUCUGGCUCUGCUUCCCAGAAGCACACUGGAAACCUCCUAAUGGUAUGAAGCCGGCUUUCAGAAGGUGCCUGUGGCCUGAAGGCUUUCAAAGGGAAUUCAUGCCCAUGCAGUGUAGGAGCAUAUGUCCUUUUAAAUGCUUGGCUCGGCUGGGGCUUACCUAAAAAAACAUGUGCCUGGCUCCUGUAACAAGACAAGCCAGGGUCAAACCUAGAGAGGAUGUGGCCUUUUGAGGAGUAUCCAAACAGCGUCUGUUACUGAUAAACUGGUGUUUAUCUGGAAGCCCAAGAGCCAUCCUGAGACCUCCCACGUGGAGGUACUUCUCCCAGGUUAGAGUAUGUCAGUGCAGUUAAAUAAAUCAAUGAGACAGUCACA
rnacentral:lncRNA from 1 species